GGCCCCAGGCUCACCUGUUGUGGAAGGAGAGUCUUCAACCAGACCCACCUUCACCACCUGCGAGGGAGAAGAGACCCUGCGUUAGGUCCACCCACCCAAGCCAGACACCUUCAGGUCAGCUGGACCCGGCGGUCACAACCGCACGCUGUUUGAUCGCAGGCUUUGAAACUCUCUGCCGAUUCUGAGCAGCUGGGAUCGUCAGGAGAGAAUCCACUCGUGCAAAGAUUGUCCCCUGACCAAACAGGAGGGGAGAGAGCCCCUUUCUCUCCGUGUCCCCGACUCUGAAGACAGAGCUACUCAUGUCUCGGACUCCUCUCCUGGCAACAGCUUUGCUUUCUUUUCCCUGGAGCCGGAGAACCAGUGCCCUGGAUAUCACCCCCUGGGACCCCAGAACUACAGGGAUCUUCCUCACCCAAGGAUUGAACUCAGGUCUCCUACAUUGCAGGCAGAUUCUUUACCGUCUGAGCCAUCAGGAAAGCCCCGUGUGUGUGUUGGCACGUGGAGCCCAGGGAAGCCAGAGUCCACCCCAGGUCCACUCACAACUUGUGCCUGCAGGUGAGCAUGGCCUCCGCCACGGGCAGCUGGUGCGUCACGGCCGCCCCACUGACGUACUGCAUCACCCGCCCCACCACGUCCAGUUGCUCUGCGGAGAAGCCGAGAUGUGGGCUGACUUACUUCAGUAGGCGAACCCGAGAAUCCUCCUUGAGCGCCCCCCUGCUGAGUCCCACCAGAAGACCCCAGGAGCUGAGGCAGAGAAAGGGCUCUAAAGACCCGCUGGUUUGAACCUAAGGAAUUUUUUAAACA